AUACGUAUGGGGCGAGCGUUGUUCGGAUUCACUGGGCGUAAAGGGCGUGUAGGCGGCGUGGUAAGUCGGAUGUGAAAUCUCCAGGCUCAACCUGGAAACUGCAUUCGAUACUGCCAUGCUAGAGUACCGGAGAGGGAGACGGAAUUCCUGGUGUAGGGGUGAAAUCUGUAGAUAUCAGGAAGAACACCGGUGGCGAAGGCGGUCUCCUGGCCGGAUACUGACGCUGAGGCGCGAAAGCUAGGGGAGCAAACAGGAUUAGAUACCCUGGUAGUCCUAGCUGUAAACGUUGUGCACUAGGUGUAAGUGGUUUCAAUCCACUUGUGCCGUAGCUAACGCAUUAAGUGCACCGCCUGGGGAGUAUGCUCGCAAGGGUGAA
rnacentral:rRNA from 1 species